GCGAUUAUGAUGAAAUUGGUAGACAUGCAAGCUUGAGGGGUUUGUGGGUAAACACCCAUCCCGGUUCAAGUCCGGGUAAUCGCA
rfam:Auxenochlorella protothecoides strain 0710 contig1039, whole genome shotgun sequence.